AGCAGCCGCGGUAAUUCCAGCUCCAAUAGCGUAUAUUAAAGUUGUUGCAGUUAAAAAGCUCGUAGUUGAAUUUCGGAGUUUAUCGGUUGGUCGGGCUUCACUGUCCGCACUGGCCUGAUGGAUUCCUACCUUCUGAAUAACCAGCAUGCUAUUAAUUUAGUGCGUUGGGGAAGCAGAGCUAUUACCUUGAAAAAAUUAGAGUGCUUAAAGCAGGCUUAUGCUUGAAUAGAUUAGCAUGGAAUAAUAAAAUAGGACGGCUUGGUUCUAUUUUGUUGGUUUCUAGGAUCACCGUAAUGAUUAAUAGGGAUAGUUGGGGGCAUUAGUAUUCAAUUGUCAGAGGUGAAAUUCUUGGAUUUAUUGAAGACUAACUUCUGCGAAAGCAUUUGCCAAGGAUGUUUUCAUUAAUCAAGAACGAAAGUUAGGGGAUCGAAGACGAUCAGAUACCGUCGUAGUCUUAACCAUAAACUAUGCCGACUAGGGAUCGGACGAUGUUAAUUUUUUAAUGACUCGUUCGGCGCCUUACG
rnacentral:rRNA from 1 species